GCUGAGCUCAGUAGUGUGAGCUUGUAACCUAAGUGGGAGUAAUAAGAUGAUUGGGACAAAUCAAAGCUUCAAGCCUUGACGUAAAUAGAGGGUUCGUUUGGGAUUAUGCGAUGCUGGUGUAGUAUGAAGUAUUGUUAUUCCAACACUAAUAAUACUUUGACAUAGCAGUGUGUGUAGAUGGGGUAACUCUCCCAUCAUUGGCUGGCUUAACAGAGCAGCUCUCUCGCAUAAUCACAAAUCCUCGCUAGAUAUGUCAAGCAGUUAUUAGUCUGGACCAUCACCUUU
rnacentral:SRP_RNA from 1 species